rnacentral:rRNA from 1 species
CCCUUAGAUGUCCGGGGCUGCACGCGCGCUACACUGAAGGAAUCAGCGUGCUAAAACCAUUGUCGAAAGGCAUUGGUAAACCCAUUAAAAUCCUACGUGAUUGGGAUCGGGAAUUGCAAUUAUUUCCCUUGAACGAGGAAUUCCCAGUAAGUGUGGGUCAUAAGCUCGCGUUGAUUACGUCCCUACCCUUUGUACACACCGCCCGUCGCUGCCCGGGACUGAGCCGUUUCGAGAAAAGCGGGGACUGCUGCUGUCGGGGCUUUCGGGCCUUGGCUUCGGUGGAAACCGCUUUAAUCGCAGUGGCUUGAACCGGGCAAAAGUCGUANCA